rnacentral:rRNA from 1 species
GACGAACGCUGGCGGCGUGCUUAACACAUGCAAGUCGAACGGAAAGGCCCUGCUUUUGUGGGGUGCUCGAGUGGCGAACGGGUGAGUAACACGUGAGUAACCUGCACUUGACUUUGGGAUAACUUCAUGAAACUGGGGCUAAUACCGGAUAGGAGCUCCUGCUGCAUGGUGGGGGUUGGAAAGUUUCGGCGGUUGGGGAUGGACUCGCGGCUUAUCAGCUUGUUGGUGGGGUAGUGGCUUACCAAGGCUUUGACGGGUAGCCGGCCUGAGAGGGUGACCGGACACACUGGGACUGAGAUAAGGCCCAGACUCGUACGGGAGGCAGCAGUGGGGAAUAUUGCACAAUGGGCGGAAGGCUGAUGUAGCAACGCCGCGUGCGGGAUGACGUCAUGCGGGUUGUGAACCGAUGUCGCCUGUGACGAAGCGUGAGUGACGGUAAUGGGUAAAGAAGCACCGGCUAACUACGUG